rnacentral:rRNA from 1 species
AUACGUAGGGUGCGAGCGUUGUCCGGAAUUACUGGGCGUAAAGAGCUCGUAGGUGGUUUGUCGCGUCGUCUGUGAAAUUCCGGGGCUUAACUCCGGGCGUGCAGGCGAUACGGGCAUAACUUGAGUACUGUAGGGGAGACUGGAAUUCCUGGUGUAGCGGUGAAAUGCGCAGAUAUCAGGAGGAACACCGGUGGCGAAGGCGGGUCUCUGGGCAGUAGCUGACGCUGAGGAGCGAAAGCAUGGGUAGCGAACAGGAUUAGAUACCCUGGUAGUCCAUGCCGUAAACGGUGGGCGCUAGGUGUAGGGGUCUUCCACGACUUCUGUGCCGUAGCUAACGCAUUAAGCGCCCCGCCUGGGGAGUACGGCCGCAAGGCUAAAACUCAAAUGAAUUGACGGGG